rnacentral:lncRNA from 1 species
CCUUCCUCUUAGACCCCGCGAGGGUGAUGCAACCUUCGCAUACUGCGGUUGCGAGGCUCCAAGGCCGCCUUCUGCGCGGGAGGAGUGACCCCUGGCGGCCGACGCAGACAUUGCGGGCUUGGUGCUUGGACUCAACUUCUGAGCUGUGUUGCAUCAGCCAACGGGCCCUAAGGAAGCUGAAUAAUGCCUCAGGCUUCCUGCCACCCUGCAGGCCGGGAAGUUGGCAGGUGUGGCGGGUGGGGUGAGGGGUCCGAGUCCCAUGGCCUAGGACGUUCAUUUCUCCGAGGCUCGGUCUCUCCUCUGGUGGGACCAUGUCUCGAAGAGCCCCUGGCUUGGCUUCUGGAGCUGGCGGCCAGAGCCACCAGGAAGAUCAAGGAGCCAGGGCCACCCUCACGUUGCCUAGGCAACAGCAUCCGUGAUCAGACUGUAAGGCAACUGGGACCCAUGCGUGCUCCCCGGGGGAGGCUGCAGGUUCACGUCGGUGUCCGGGUAUCUUACAGAAUGUUCUUAAUCUUCACGUGCUUCUUCUGAGAUCAGUGAUAAAGAAGACACGGAUACAGCAAGAAGGAAGGAGGCCCUGUGCACGACACUAAGAUGAGUGACGCCACAGCACGGACCUUUGCUCAAGAUCCGUCAGCAGGAAAUACCCCCCAAGUGCCGAGAGUGCUGGCAUGCAGCAGAG